rnacentral:rRNA from 1 species
AUUGAACGCUGGCGGCAGGCCUAACACAUGCAAGUCGAGCGGAUGAAGGGAGCUUGCUCCUGGAUUCAGCGGCGGACGGGUGAGUAAUGCCUAGGAAUCUGCCUGGUAGUGGGGGAUAACGUCCGGAAACGGGCGCUAAUACCGCAUACGUCCUGAGGGAGAAAGUGGGGGAUCUUCGGACCUCACGCUAUCAGAUGAGCCUAGGUCGGAUUAGCUAGUUGGUGGGGUAAAGGCCUACCAAGGCGACGAUCCGUAACUGGUCUGAGAGGAUGACCAGUCACAAUGGAACUAAGACACAGUCCGGACGCAAACGGGAGCCAGCGGUGGGGAGUAUGGGACAAGGGUCGAAAGCUUGAUCAAGCCUUGCCGCGGGGGUGAAGAAGGUUUUGGGAUUAUAAAGCUCUUUAGGUUGGGAGAAAGGAAAGUAAUUUAAUACCUUCCUUUUUGGACGUCCCCAACAGAGAAGGACCGGGCAAACUUCGUC